CUUCUUACUUUCCCUCUCUUUUGUCCACGUAAUUUGUCAAACAGUCACUCAACUAACAAUUUUUAUUUUUUGUUUCAGAAAGUUACUCUAACUUUAUAACAAAAAAAAAAUCACUCAACUAUUGUCAUUUUGUCCACAAAUUCAGUCAACUUGAAUUGUUUGAGGGACUUUAUAGGUGAAAAGUAGAGUGGUUUUGUAAGUGAAAUAGCAAUAGUUGAGUGACUUUAUAGAUGAAAUGGAAAUACUUGAGCAAAUUAAGUGACUUUCUGGAAUAAAAUGUUUUAGUUGAGUAACAAAUUAACUCCACUUUUCUCUCUAGUCAAUUCUAUCGGUAUCAUUUGCUUGUACAUUUUCGAAAAGCGCAUGGCUUCUGCAAAUAAACGAAUAUACAAUUCUAUUUUAUUCAGCAUUAUCAUUAUAUUUGAGGAGUUAAAUUUUGUUUCCUAACUACAUGAUUGUUUUACAUUGCUAAGGUCUUGUUUGGUAGCUUGUUAGAAGCCUCAUUUGUUUGCACUAUGAUUCAGACCUUAAGCCAUUAAGUGCAUUUGUUUGCAUUAAGAUCUAAACAUUUAUUGGGUCUGAAUAGGUCUUAAUAAUUAAGAUCUUGAAUCAAGUCUUAAUAUCAUUAAGAGGUAUUUUUGUAUGAAACUUUUUUAUCACCAACUCCAACCCUUCACCUCAACCCCACCCCCACCCCCACCCACUCUCCACUCCAACCUCACCCAUCCACCUCAACCCCACCCCACCACUUACCCACCCUCCACUCCAACCCCCCACUCCCCACCACCCUCACGCCACCACCAACGCCAAUCCCACCCCACACCGCCUAUCCCCACUCCCCACCACCAAUCCCUACCCCACACCACCCACCACCAACCCCACUUCCACUCCCCACCAACAACCCCUACCCCACACCACCCAUCCCCACUCCCCACUACCCGUCACCCCCACCCCCACUCCCAGCCAACCCUAACCCCACAACCUCCCACCCCUCACCCCAACCACCCACUCACCCCUCCACCCUCUCUGACCCCACUGACCACUCACCACGACUACAAAACAUCUCCACCAUUACUAGUGAACAUAAAUGUUUCAUUUUUUUUAUCAAAUAAUAUUUUUUUAAUUAAAUUUGUAUUUAUUUUCUACUAUUUAGUUACUUUUUAAUUUGAAUUAUAUAUUUAUUAUGUUUAAAUAAACACACUAUGCACAUUCAGAUAUUGAAAAACAAACAGUUUUAAUCAUUCAGUGUUCAGACCUAGAGACAACAUCUGUUACGUCCCGUAUUUUUAUACAUUGGGACAACCCGGAUUAACUAUGAUAAAUUAAGGCCAAGACUAUUCCGGGAUUUGAAGUCGGGACUUUUGACCUUUGAUUUUAUUUUGAGACAUAAGUUGUGUAUGAAAUUGUUAGCUUGAACACUUAGGAAAAAUUGGGACCAUAAUUCAUAAAUUUGGAAAUUAAAACUCUUGCAUAAAAAAAAAAGGGGGAAGAUGUGUGGAUUGAAGUGGUCCCCACACAUUGUUGUGGCCAAUUUUAAUUGGUCCAACACAUGUGUGGGCCCAAAGACAAUAAGAGAUAUUUUAAGGGGACUUAAAAGAUGACCACUUAGUCAUCUUUCUCUCAUUUCACAUUCCCACACUUAGAAAAUAAAGCAAGAAGUUGAGGAACCAAAACCAUGGCUCACGGCCAAGACCAUGGAAAACCAAAUCCAAAUCAAGCCCCUCUAAAAAUAUUUCUUGGGUACAAAUCAACUAAUUAGAGGUCCCUAAGUAACUUGGAAGCAUUGUUGGAGUGAUCAAGUCUUUCAUUUAAGAGAUUUGCAAACCCUAGCCUAUUGGUGGAUUGAAGAAGAAAGACCUUGGGGAGCCCGAGGCGUGGAUUGGAAAUUUACUUUAGAUUGGCUAUUUUGGAAGGGCGUACGAGGUACAGACGCACAGCCUGGUGAUCCACCUGUUUAGGACACCCUUUCUGCUAUU